ensembl:scaRNA
UGGUCUAUGAUGAAUAGCCCACUGCGCAAUCCGAGUUCUGCGGAACUGAAUGAAGGAAUUUGUGCUGACAAAGGCAUCUGAGACCC